CGCGUAGGCGGCAAGAAAAAGUCAGAUGUGAAAUUCCGGGGCUCAGCCCCGGAGCUGCAUUUGAAACUUUCUAGCUAGAGGUUGGUAAGGGAAAACGGAAUUCCACGUGUAGCGGUGAAAUGCGUAGAUAUGUGGAAGAACACCGGUGGUGAAGACGGUUUUCUGUGCCAAACCUGACGCUGAGGCGCGAAAGCUAGGGGAGCAAACA
rnacentral:rRNA from 1 species